GGUUGGUCCAAGUGCAGUGGUGUUUACAACUAAUUGAUCACAAACAGUUACAGAUUCCUUUGUUCCUUUUCCACUCCCACUGCUUCACCUGGCCAGCCUUAA
rnacentral:Y_RNA from 1 species